rnacentral:rRNA from 1 species
UCAGGACGAACGCUGGCGGCGUGCUUAACACAUGCAAGUCGAGCGGUAAGGCCCUUCGGGGUACACGAGCGGCGAACGGGUGAGUAACACGUGAGCAACCUGCCCCUGACUCCGGGAUAAGCGGUGGAAACGCCGUCUAAUACCGGAUAUGACACACCAUCUCCUGGUGGUGUGUGGAAAGUUUUGUCGGUCAGGGAUGGGCUCGCGGCCUAUCAGCUAGUUGGUGGGGUAAAGGCCUACCAAGGCGAUUACGGGUAGCCGGCCUGAGAGGGCGACCGGCCACACUGGGACUGAGACACGGCCCAGACUCCUGCGGGAGGCAGCAGUGGGGAAUAUUGCACAAUGGGCGAAAGCCUGAUGCAGCGACGCCGCGUGGGGGAUGACGGCCUUCGGGUUGUAAACCUCUUUUACCACCAACGCAGGCCCCGGGUUCUCUCGGGGUUGACGGUAGGUGGGAUAAGCC